rnacentral:lncRNA from 1 species
GUGAGCGUGGCGGACGGACCCUGGCGCUGAACUCGGGCGUCGUGGGCGGAGGUCUCGAGGCCAGCAGACGCAGCAAGUCGCGGCCGAUCGCGAAUCAAGCAGGAGUAACGACGUCUGGUUGCAGCAGUGGAGCUUCGGGCUGAGGGCAGAGCAGAAACGACGUCGCGGGGACUCGGGAUCUGGUGCUCGGGCAGAGGUUCGGAGGUGGAGCGGCGAGGCGGCAGCGCUGGUGCACGGCUACUGGCGGAACGGCGGUGGCGGGAGCAGAGGCGAACGGAGCAGGAGCAGCGUCGGUGGUGCUCGGUGAUGGCGAGCGAGAGACCUGCAGGUUGCGGGCUUCGGAGGUGCGGCGGAGGUGGGGCGUCCGGCGGGCUUCUUGGCUGCGGGUGGAAGGCAAAACAGAGCCGGCGAGCGUGAGGGAGACGAUGAACAGUAAACGUCCCCUCACCUCUGCCUUUUUACUUUUUACCUUUUCCCCCCCCUCUCUCUCUCUCUCUCUUCAGAAGAAAAACUUCUCUUCACUUUUUCUUUUCUUGUUUUUUUU